rnacentral:misc_RNA from 1 species
UGGACGUGUUUUAUUGUUCUAAGAUAACCGAAGUGGCUCCGUACUCGGGCUUGUUGCGCGCGCGAUAUUUUUGCACGUUUUUCCCGAAUCACAAGAUCCCGAGGCGUCGAUGUGAAUUUUCUUUAGGGCUGACUUUUGUACAUAACAUUUUGUACAUACGGUAUUCAAGUGAUGAGUUCGAGUAAUACACAGAGGGCGGGGAAAAGCAGCCGGGAUCGAGGGAACAAGUCACCGUCGGCGGCGACGACACAGUCCCCCAAGGCGGUCACUGCCACAGAUGGGCAUGCCAAGCCGCCCGACGGCUUCAUUCCCAAAGUCCAGCCAACUCCCGAACAGAUCAGGCUGGCACAGAUUAUCAAUGACCCAACGAAGCAGGAUGAUCCGGACAUCAAGAACAAAGUCCAACAGGUGAUGGAGGUGACAGGCCAGUCCAGUGAUGCAGUCGUGAUAGCACUGCAUGACUGCGACAAUGACCCCACGCGAGCCAUCACCAUGCUCAUUGAGGGCAACAAGCAGGAGGGCGAGUGGGAGACUCGGGGCAAAAAGAAAAAGCCUGCGAAGGAGGGCAGCCAGCAGCAGCAGCAGCAACAACAGCAGCAGAAAGGGGACCAAGGUGGCCCCGCGAGCAGCAACAAGGAAAACCGUGGGGGGCCUCGCGGGGAGGGCGGCCCCCCACGCAACAUGCCCCGGGGGUCUGGGGGAGGAGGCCGAGGAGGAGGUCGUGGAGGCAGCUGGAAGAACAAGGAAAUCGAGAAGAAUGAGAGAAACCUUGAAGACGGGCGCACUGGCGAGAGAACUGGCGAGAGGACUGGUGACAUGCGACCACGAGGAGGCAGCAGACGUGGUGGCAGAGGCGGCAGAGGAGGUGGCAUUGGUGGGGGGCGUGGUAGCCGCACGUUCCAGAACCGAGGGCUGGGCGGCCAUGAUGGCUUCCCCCAGUCCAUGGACACAUGGACCAACAGCACAUCUACCGGAGGACAGCGACCAUCUAGGGGAAGCCAGCAGCAACAGCAGCAGCAGGACACCAUGGCAGUCGGUAACUGGAAUGACCUGGCAGUCAGUGAAGACUGGAGUGAGGAGGACUGGACCGGACAGUUGGAAACUAAAGUGUUCACGGCUAGUGGAGCUGCUGCGAUACCUCCGCCAGCACCCGACACGGCGAGCAUCAUACAACUGUUGAAGGAGUCUCCACACGAGUCCAUCAGUGUAGCCCAGUACAACCAGCAAGCCACAGAAUCCAUCAAGGCUGCUGUUGGGGUUGGCUCAGCAGCCAAUUCGGUGAGCAACAGCAGCUACCCCGUGGCACAGGUGGUGUCCUCCACAGACUCUCCUUCCGUCACAACCUCCAAGCCAGUUCCUGCACCCCAGCGGACAAAGACACCGAGAGUGCGGGUGCCGCCGCCAUCGAAGAUACCGGAGUCAGCUGUGGAAAUGCCAGAAGACAGUGCUGUGUCAUCACUAGAAGUGCAGUUCGGUGGCCUCGAGUUUGGCACGGAUACGUUUGACUUUGGGGCCAAUGAUGGCUUGGCAGCAGUUUCCACUGCACAACCCACGAUGCCACCUGGGCUGGUUCAAACAGAGCAGUCAUCAGUUGCUGCAUCUGUUCCAUCAUCCACACCUUACAUGGACGGGCAUCACUCUGUCAGUAAGGUUCCAUCGUCGACAGUCAUCUCCAGCAGUCCCGUGGGCCCGCUGGGUCCUUCCCCGGUUGCCAGCAAGGACGUCUCUUCUGCGACAGCCGGCACAAUGCCACAAGCACAGCCACAACAACCGUCACAGCCACAAUCUCAACAACAGUCACUACCGUCACAGCCGUCGGCAGCAGCACCACCCAGUGCCUCCCUGCCGCGACCUCCUGGCAUACCGGCGCCCAAGGAACCUCCUCAGGGACUGGGAAACAGCGUGCCCCCGACAGCGAAUGCAUUGGGUGCGGCUCCUGCGUCCUCUGCGACCUCGGUCGCAGCAUCUGCAACCUCCUCGGCCAGUCACAAGCCUGGCUCUGUGAUGACCCCUGAGCAUCUGCUGCUCCAGUCUCAAUCUCACUCUGAGCGCAGCAAACCUGUGUCGUCCUCAUCUGUGGCUGGUCCACAGUCCAAGAUGUACACCGGUGGAGCUGCCACACAGAGGAACAGCCAAGGGCUAGAAGGUGGGCUGUCUUCGGCGGGCAAAGUGGAGCAGCCAAUGUAUUCGUCGGCAGGGGCUGGAGGCCAGCACUACGGUGGUGGGGCCUACCCGGGGGGUGGGGGCAAGGGCCUUGUGGGCUCCUACUUGGCCCACUCUCAGGGCUUCCCAUCGGCCACUACUGGGCAGCAGCACUACUACACUGCUCAACAGCCCACGAGUUCCACGACUGCAGCCUUCGGCCAGCAGCAGAGCAAUGGUUACCAGGGUCCUUACCAGAGCAAUGCCUAUUCUGGGCCGAGCCAGCCACAGCAGGCAAACUACGGGGUCUCUUCCAAGCUCUCGGCGUCCGCAGGGUUGGGUCCUCACUCGGUGAAGGAUUCAGUGCUUGAUUCUACGUCUCAGCAAGGAACUGCCAGCCAGCACACCUACGAGAACGCUCAUGUUCCCGCCACCGCAGCGGGGAUGCCACCUGGGCCAGCGUCGACGCUAGCAACUACAGCCUCCUCGUUAGCCGGUGCCACGGCAACAACAUCUGUGCUCAAGAACUCCAUGUCAGCAACGGGGAAGACCAUGCCCACAAUGCCGCCUGGAGUGCCUGCCAUGCUUAGCCACCAGUUGUUUGUGGGAAAUGCUGCCAUGCCAUACUAUGGCUUGCAGCAACAGCAUUUGUAUAGCUACGAAGACAUGCAGAUGCUACAGACUAGAAUGCCACCCCUGGGCUACUAUGACAUGCAGUACCCUGUGCCUGCCACAAGCCUCGCCGGACGAGACCUCACGUUGAACAAUAUGGCUUUUGCAGAGGGUAGCAAGUUUGGCCGUGGUGAGAACAGCGACAGCAGCCCAGGCACAGUAGCUGGGGUGGGACCACAGGGGGCUGCGGCCGGUGCUGCGGCUGCUGCCCAGGGUGGGGCCCAGGGUGGACAGCAGGGGGCACCCCCCACGGCAGGACAGCAGGCAGCAGCCAGCCAGCCGUUUUUGAGCACACUGCCCCCUGGGUAUGGCUACUACUACCCAUCCAACAUCAUGCCUGGAUCCAUCCACCACUACGGACCGCCGCCCAUGUUCCCUGCGGGUAUGAUGGCCUAAGUCAGACACCAGACUAUGCCAAAAAUACCUACGGCGCAGGUUCACAGGGACAGGCUAAGGGCAUCUCAGGUUCAUUCUUUUGAGAAGCCAGGCUUUCUGGCAGGCUCGCAGUCUUCGGCAGUUGCAGCAUCCUCGGCAGUGGCGGCAGGCCACCAACAGCAGCCUGGAGGCUCGUCUUACCCGCAGUUUGCAGGACCUCGCGGGAUCACCACCUUCGUUGGCAAAGCAGCAGCAGCAACAGCCAAGUGGCCAUGUGCGCCAGGGAUACCCCUCCUACUGGAGCAACUGAAAUGUGUUGUGCUUGUGUGUCUCCUCUCUCUGCAACAGUUACUCCCUCCUCCUCCUGGCUCAAGCAGUUUCUUUUGACUCGUUCUCACCCAGACCUUAUGUAACAACUCCUCCCACUUUCUCUGUCAAAGAGGGUCGGGAGCAGAAAAGGUUGUCUGUCUAAAUGCGCUCACAAGACAGUCCUCCCCCGCCCUUUUUCUGCUGUCACCCCUCCCCAUCGGUACAUUUUUCAUACUGUUUGCAGUGCUACGCUGUCUAAAUCUAAAUCUGUCUAAAUCGUAGGUUGUCUAAAUCAUAGGUUGUCUAAAUCAUAGGUUUCCCGACGGCUGGCUGCUUGUGAGAGCGGGUGUGCAAGUCUGUGGUGUCUCGUGCCUCGGUGUGCUGUGGUGGUGCCUGCUCUAGUGACGGUCAUGUUGCCCACUGCCGUGGUUUUCCUCUCUUUUUUUUCUCUGCGUUAAAAGACCAUAUUUUUCUUUAUUUACACGUCUUGUGUUUUACGCUUGGCCACACUUUUCUUCCUGUACCUGGCUUUUCUUUUUCCCCCUCUUUUUAUGCCAUGCAGUUGCUGCAUUGUAGCCCCUACAGGCCUUUGUUUCUUUUUCUUUAGUUUUUGUCGUGGACUUGUAUGAGAGCGAAAGACUCCGCGCACGCACUGGCAACUGCAGACUCAAGAUACGUUUUUGCGAUCUGUGGAAGCAGGACCAACUAUGUUAUCAGGCCUCGCGUAGGACAAUGCAGUGAUUUUUUUAUUUUAUUUUUUUUUUCAACAUAUGCUGCUGCACUCGUGGGUUCUUUCUUUAAUCUUUCUGAUGUAAUUUUCUUUCUGUAUCUUCUUUUUUUUUUAAUGCAUUGCACUUUGGCCCAUUGGUCUUGUUUGAUGUACUUUUUUUCGUUCUUAUUUUUUUACACAGAGACUGCCUGCCGCCAGCCAGUUGUAAGGAAUCUUUUGGAAAGCUUUCUUUUGCUGUGUGUCAGUGCACCAUUAAUGCACCCUUAAUGUCGACCAUUAGCACUGAAAUUUCUCAGCGAAAUUGGAAAUUUUCAAAAAAAAAAUGUUUAGCAUUGAUGAAGUGUACAUUUUCAGUGUAUCUUAGUCAACUGAAAGUGGGGGGCGUUUAGAUAACAGGCUUGACCUGCUUUUUUUCUUUUGCCUUGGCCUUCUGGAGCCAGAAUUUUUUUCUAGCUUCCCGAACGGUUUUAUUCCCUUUGCGAAUGGUUUGUUGAAGCUUAUUUCUUUUUCCCUGUAAUCGGUACCACAUCGAAAUGGCAAUGCUCCGUCUGUUCGAAGCCCUGCAAGAACAAGAGUUCGAGCAAAGACUCUGCACAGCACGUUGAAAUAAAACAAAAGGAGGAAGCAGUACAAAGUGUACUGAAGACUUUGCAAGGUCCAAAUGGCACAUUUCUUACUGCAUUGCGCAGGACUGAGGGCUUCUUUGUUGUGGAACUGCCGGUAGAGAAUGAAACCGCGAAGGGAGCUGAAAGUCGUGCGCUUUUUUUUUUUUUUUUUCGCAAUAAUUUUUCUUAGCUGAACUUAUCCCAUUUCGCCUUAGCUGAACUUAUCCCAUUUCGCACGCUUACUUUUCCUUUCUUUCGUUUUGCUUCUCCAUGGCGUUGUGUGCAUGCACUCGAGAGUGGUUCUUUUGUACAUAUAUUUGCCAGGAAGCGAUAUUGUUGUGAGCACCUGGCGGCGUUCAUAUUGUACGCCAUAUUUUUUACGGCUUUUUCUUUCCUUUCCCCUGCAUUGGUAUGUGUGUGUUGUGUGCUUGGGUGUGCGCAUACUCCUUUCAUUGCUUUUUUUUUUUUCUAUUGUAAAAAACAUAUUUGUCAAUGCAAUUAGCAUUGUCUUGUGCUGGCAGGCAGGCCAUCUGUUUUGUUGUAAAAGUGGGGAAACGCAUCACCUCCACUUAUUUCUUUUUCAAAAGCAAGCUGCGUAUAAAACGAAAAUGCAUAGAGUGCGGUUGUUGCGUUUACAAACUAUAAUUUCGACGAUUACGUUUGUCGGGGUGUCUGUUUUAAGUGGCGCUUCGAUUGCGUUCGAUGAGAGAACGGCAGCAGCCACCUGCAGUAGUGUUUUUUUCUACUGAGCCAUUUUUCUAAUGUUGUUGUCGUCCUCCUCCUCCUGUAAUAUUUUUGUGCUCGCCCCACCACCUCCAUUUUUGUUUGUGAAGUUGACGUACAUAAAAUAUAUAUAUAUAAUGUAUAUGUAUACAUAUUCGUAGGGAAAGUGAGAAAAAAAAAACGGAGCAAACAAGGAAGUCUCUAUGUAAAGUUGUUUCACCCCCCACGCAAAAUGGAGUAAAAUGUGUGGCAAUGCUGUGUGAAAUCAGGACGAGAAGAAAAAGAAAAUAAAUGUUUGUAAAUAUAUGAAUAUACAUUUUUGUUUGUUUUCUUUUUGACUGUGUUUAUCAGCCUCCUUGCAGUGCAGAAUGCUCAUGGUCUGAUACAAGCAUGCAAAUGGGAAGAGUUGGUAGUUUCUGUUUGUGUGGUGAGAAGGUGUGAUAUAUAAAUAUAUAUAGUUUGUGACGAGAGGCCCCAGAAAAAAAUAAAAUACUUGUCAUUAA